CAUGGAUCUGCUCAGCACAUGGCAUAAAGGCCUCCUGCCGACCCUCCUGAGCUGAGAUAAGCAACUCCUGGAUCUUUUUGGUGAUGACCUCAGUCUUCUUCACAACCUGACACCCAAACAUCAACACAUCAUGCACUCACCUCCUCCUGUGUGGGAAGUGCAUAGGAGGCACUAAGAGGCGUUGUCUCUGAGGCCUCCAGGCUUGGGCUGCGUGCUCUUGUGUUGUCAUACUCACCAGACACUCGCUGGGAAACAACAAUGAAGAAUGAUAUCUGAUACAAUUGAUGUUCUCUGGGCCUGGACACUUAUUAGAAUAAUAUCUGACUUAUAAAUAAAAUCAAAUUAAAACAAGCAACACAAAAUAUUACCGCUGAAAAGGCUGAGGUUCUUGACUGAUCUAGUG